AUUGAACGCUGGCGGCAGGCCUAACACAUGCAAGUCGAGCGGAGCGGCGGACGGGUGAGUAAUGCCUAGGAAUCGGCCUGGUAGUGGGGGAUAACGUCCGGAAACGGGCGCUAAUACCGCAUACUAUCAGAUGAGCCUAGGUCGGAUUAGCUAGUUGGUGGGGUAAAGGCCUACCAAGGCGACGAUCCGUAACUGGUCUGAGAGGAUGAUCAGUCACUCUGGAACUGGACCACGGUCCAGACUCCUACGGUAGGCAGCAGUGGGGAAUAUUUGGCAAUGGGCGAAAGCCUGUGCCAGCCAUGCCGCGUGUGUGAAGAAGGUCUUCGGAGUGUAAAGCACUUUACGUUGGGAAGCGUUACCAACAGAAUCAGCACCGGCUAACUUCGUGCCAGCAGCCGCGGUAAUAC
rnacentral:rRNA from 1 species